rnacentral:misc_RNA from 1 species
CUACAUCAAUUUGGUAUCAAAGCCUUCUAAAAUCGCACCCUUCCACUGUCACUCGAAUCCCUCUCUAGGAGUACAUUGCUAUUUCUUUGAUUUUCUAGCCAUAUAUAUAGAAAGAGAGAGAUAAAUUAUUAUUUAGUCCCUGUAUUUUAUUUCUGUUAAACUGUUUAGUCACUCCAUCAAUUUUUUCAUUAUUCAAUACUGAUCAACAUACUAUUUAUUUCCUCUAUUUUAGUGAAACUAAUCAGUUAGUCCCUAUAUUUUGAAAAGAACACAUUACCCUAUAAUUUGGCUCAAUUAACUAUUUAGUCCCACAAUUAU